rnacentral:misc_RNA from 1 species
UACGAGAGCCUCGAGCGUUAUCCGGAUUUAUUGGGCGUAAAGGGUGCGUAGGUUGCAUUGUUAGUCUCUUGUUAAAGCCCCGGGCUCAACUCGGGAAUCGCAAGGGAAACGGCAAUGCUAGAGAGUGUGAGGGGUGUACGGAACUCUAGGUGUAGGGGUGAAAUCCGUUGAUAUCUAGGGGAACACCAAAAGCGAAGGCAGUACACUGGCACAUUUCUGACACUGAGGCACGAAAGCGUGGGUAGCGAAUGGG